UCAUAUUACUACCCCUUCCUCAUCCUAUUCCUACUGCCUAACAGUUCAAACUAUCUCAAUAGUGAAUUGUAUUCUCCAAGCUUGUGGAAAACGUUAGACGUGAAACCAUCAAGACCCGAACGAUGGAGAAAUUUCGGGACAAGGAUCGCUUGAUCAUCGAUAAAGGUUCUACAUCACUGUGGAUCUCAGAUCUGCAAGCUACGACACAGAUAACUACGUUAAACGAGAAACCACCUUGACCUGAACGCCUGAUGAUCUGGGAGAUCCCAGAGGAUCUGGGAAACCUUAAAGCUGUAAUCCUCGGCGAAGAAUAACGGUAAAAAAUUAUAAUUCCAAAGGUCCCUGUGAAUACUGGAUCCACUUCAUUACUAAUAAGCCCUAAACCAUCUUUUAUACAGAGAGCAGGUGUGUGCACAAGGACCGUUUUUGGACUGUAAAGGUUGAAACAUUUGAACUGAAACUAACGUAAAAGUACUAAAUAAAAUUCUAAGCUCUUAAAUUAAGAAAACUAACCCCAAGGUUAAAUCCAUAAUGUUAAUGGUAAAAAAAAUAUGUUAAUUUUCAUAAAUCUAAAAUGGUACGCUUGAAAUUCGUUGACUAGGAUAAAAAUUUUUUUUCAUGUAUACUACUGUAACCCUGCCCCUAUACAGAAUUUGAAAUAAAUUGUUGCGAUUAGUAAACCAAGAGGAAAUGAGCCAAAAAACUGAAUUUUCUUUCUCAUCCGGAUUUCUUCCCAAAAAUAAACUGAGAUAAAUUCACUUUUGUAAUCCUAAAACCUACUGACUUUACCAAACAAAAAAUCUUUUUCAAGGUUCUCUUUUUAUACUUAGA